rnacentral:rRNA from 1 species
UACGUAGGAGGCAAGCGUUGUCCGGAGUUACUGGGCGUAAAGCGCACGCAGGCGGUCUUGUCAGUCUGUAGGGACAGGGCACAGCUCAACUGUGUCAGGCUUAUGGAAACUGCAAGACUUGAGGGCUUCAGAGGGAUGGGGAAUUCCGGGUGGAGUGGUGAAAUGCGUAGAGAUCCGGAAGAACACCAAAGGCGAAGGCACCAUCCUGGGGAGUCACUGACGCUCGG